GUGAGGAAUCUUGCACAAUGGGGGAAACCCUGAUGCAGCGACGCCGCGUGAGUGAUGACGCCCUUCGGGGUGUAAAGCUCUUUCGACGGGGACGAUAAUGACGGUACCCGGAGAAGAAGCUGCGGCUAACUACGUGCCAGCAGCCGCGGUAAUACGUAGGCAGCAAGCGUUGUUCGGAAUUACUGGGCGUAAAGAGUGCGUAGGUGGUUGGCUAAGUUUGGUGUGAAAUCUCCCGGCUCAACUGGGAGGGUGCGCCGAAAACUGGCCGGCUAGAGUGUGGGAGAGGGAAGUGGAAUUCCUGGUGUAGCGGUGAAAUGCGUAGAUAUCAGGAGGAACACCUGCGGUGUAGACGGCUUCCUGGACCAUUACUGACACUGAGGCACGAAAGCGUGGGGAGCAAACAGGAUUAGAUACCCCGGUAGUCC
rnacentral:rRNA from 1 species